ensembl:lncRNA
AUAAAUCACAAGUCUGCUCAAGAAGGUUCGGGGCCUUGGCAUAUAUAGCCACAUAUAUCGCACCCCCUUGAGAGGUGUGGUGUAUGAAGCGCCACAAAUGUCACCGGGUGAAUUUUCAUUUUUCCUCUUUUUUAAAGGGGGCACAAAAGGGGGCAUCUACUCUUAAACCAUGACCGGGAUUCACUACAAAUUGCCACAUAGGACUUCAGUGUGGGUGUGGGAUUAAAGCAGCUUUAAUUAUAUUUGUGAUUUACGAACUAAACUGAUUUAUUGUUUUAGCUUACCCUUUUUAUCUGACUCUUUCCAGUAGGUUUACUACUUUAAUGCAUUCAAUUGAUAAAAUCAAUUCUGCUCUUAAUAAUAAUUUUUUUCUGUUUUUCUGAAUCAACAACAUAAUUAUCUCAGAACUCUGUGAUAAGGCUUUAUGGAAUCACAAUUCUGGGUAACGCUUUAUAUUAUGGUCCUUGUAUUAUGCCUUAGUUAAUAGCUAAUAAGACCCUUGUUAUAUGCGUAUUAACAUUAAUUGGUGUUAAUAAGACUAUAUAAAAGUGUAAACAUAAUAAUAAUAAUCAUGUUUAUUGCGAGAUUAUAAUACUUUUAUGUGCUAACUAUUUAUCGAUUGCUUAAUAACAUUAAUAAUAGUCUUAUGAGUUUCUUAUAGUUGUUAAUAAAAGCAUUACAAACCCAUUUAUUGAGUCUUACUACCGCACAUGUUGAGUGAGUGUGAUCUGUUUUGUGCCGCAUAUGUGUUCAACAUCAAGUGUUCGAACAUUUGGAAAACAUGUCGGAAUCAUCAGCACCCAAAACCAACAACUGACAGUCAAAAGAUAGGCACAAGCACAGAAAACAUGGAUGAGAGGAAAAGGUCUGAACUGGAGGACGACCCGUCUGUAUUGAAGGGGAGAUUUGGAGGUACCUGGUCAGGGCUUGGUCAGCCUACAAAUCCCAGCUGUGGAGACUGCGGAGAAACUGCACAGAGCGGACACUAACCCACUGCGC